UUAGCCUUAAACCUCAAUAGUUAAAUAACAAAACUAUUCGCCAGAAUACUACAAGCAACAGCUUGAAACUCAAAGGACUUGGCGGUGCUUUAUAUUCCCCCUAGAGGAGCCUGUUCCAUAAUCGAUAAACCCCGAUCCACCCUACCCUCUCUUGCUCAGCCUAUAUACCGCCAUCUUCAGCAAACCCUGAUGAAGGCCACAAAGUGAGCGCAAAUGCCCACGCCGCAAAAACGUUAGGUCAAGGUGUAGCCCAUGAGACGGUAAAAAAUGGGCUACAUUUUCUACCUCAGAAAACCCUACGAUACCUCUUAUGAAAUCUAAGAGUCCAAGGAGGAUUUACGCAGUAAUCAAGAAUAGAGUGCUUGAUUGAACUAGGCCAUGAAGCGCGC
rnacentral:rRNA from 1 species